CUUGGAAGGUUGUUCAAAUCUUAAAUCACCAGCAUCGUCAGUAGAAUAGACUGGAACCUUCAAAGCGGAGAAUUGGAGACCUUGCAAAUCCUUUUCUAAUAAAGAACGAACAGGAGCCAAGUAGGGGCUAUGGAAAGGAACAGAAAUGCUAAGGAAUCGGUUGAUAAAGCGAAGCUUACGCUUUGAAUGAGGGAUACGAGAUUGAUUUUGUCCAUCAGCUUUCUCUUUGCGCAAGGAAAGGUUCAAACCGUACAAAGAGCGAGCAGGUCCACUGACAACAAAACUGCGAGGACCAUUAACCAAACUAAGAGAAACCUUCCUGUCUUCAGGUAGGUGAGUAUUGGUGGUCUCAAUAUGCUUGUUCAGAGUCUCAAUGGGUAAAUCACGAACAGCUAACAUGGGAGUGGGGUUUCCUUCAGAUGAAGCUAGCGAAUCAGCAACGACUGAAGGGGGAAGCGUAGUUGUUGGGAAAGUCUGUUGAGAGCGAACACCAAUCCAAAACAAAGUAGUCAAAGCAACUUUGGCAUUUUCCAUAAAAGAAGCUGAAUCAGUAGAAGCGGAAACAGCAGCAGCAACAACAAUGCCCUGUGAAUGACCAGAAGCUGCGCUGAAGCGAGAAGCCAGCUCUCCAGGGUUCAAACCCAAGAUUUGGGCGGUUACGGAGAAGUGCACGAGCUGUGUGAGACCAACUAGGGGAAGGGAGACAGGAGCACUGACCAAAUAGUCACGUUCCGGUCGCUCGCCAGCGAGCCAGUCAAGUACAUUAAGUCCUUUGGAAUAAACUUUUGAUGCCUGUUCAUUUUGAGAAAGGGUAAAAAGAUGUUUAGAGAGCACCUGGAUCAGUUCAGCUGCAAAAGGAGCAUACACUUCAUAAAGUUCAAUCAAUUCGUCAAAAUAAUCUUCAUAGCCUUGUCCACCAAAAAUGGCCGCCAAUUUUACCGAGGACUCGUCUAACAAAGCGGAUCCAUGGAAUUUUGUGGUCUGACCAAUCAAGGCACAAGAGUGGUAGUAGAAACGAACGACGUCUUUUUGCGCAGGAAUGUUCAAUCCCAAACUAUGAACGACGGCAUGAACCUCAUUACCGGCUAAGAAGGUGCGUUCGAAUUCAAGAGUAAUAAUUCUUAAGAGCUGGGUAUAUUGCCCAGGAGUCUCUUCCUCUUUGGCGGCAAUUAAACCGAGGAAACCAGCUAGUAAGUGGAGUUCAUGUUCAAACUCAAGUUCAGCGCCUUCCUUCUCCACCGACUCGGCUGAAGGGGCGGGAUGAAGGGACAGGAAUUCAUCGCGAAGCUGAGCAGCCAACAAGUAUUGUGAAGCAGGAAUUAGAAUGGAAGGCGAAAAAUGAGCAUAAGAAAGAACCAACGACCUCAGCGACUGAUGAACUUGUUCAGCCUCAACCAUGAUUUCAAUGAUAAUAUGAGAAAGAAAUUACCGUAUAUAAAACAAAGGUAGGUCUAUGGGUGGAAUGAAAGAAUGUCAACACAAAUAUGUAGCCAAGGUGUAUCGACCUUUUUUAACGUUGCGUUUUUCUUCGUAAGACACCAAUCAGUCAGUAUGCCAGAAAAUCCGUCGUAAAAAAGGGAGCCUUAAUGAAAAAAAUACAGUAUCUAUAAAUCCGGCAAAUUUAAAUGAAACUCUACGCGUCAAAGGAUUAGUAAAUGAGGACGUAUUACUCUACUGUUCGUCCCUAAUUAUUUAUACUUCCUUUUCAGCACAACUUUCUCCGUUCGUAAUCGUCAAACGGAAGGAAUGUUGAGGAUAUUAAAAUUUUUGCCAGUUACAGAACUGUCUAUUUAUAUAAAGAGGAUGAGUAAAAGUGUGAUCUGUUAGACAGCUAGUUCCCAGACUAGGUCAGUUGUUG